ACAGCUGUGGAAAAGCGGCAAAGGACGGAGGUUACAAAUACUUCUGUAUCGAGUUUUAUGGCGAAUGUUGGGGUUACAAGGACUUUAAUGUGAACCAGACUCACGCAGGAGCAAAUGCAUGCUGGGGAAAACGUCCUAACUUCAAAACUUGCGAUGAUAGUCAGAAAAAUCCAAUCUGCGUCGGAACAGCAAAUCAUGGAUACAUCUACGAACUUAAUUAGUUGGUAAGUUUUUUUUCAACUUUUUGUUUUCAUCACAACACGGACGUGAAUGCUGUACAUAGUUAUGAUAUAAUACUUUUUGUUUGUGGUAACACCACGUAAAUUUAUUACUGCAAAGCUUUCGAUCCGUAAGCCUGGAUCUUCAUCAGUGCAAAUAUGAUGAAGAUCGGGGCUUAUGGAUCGAAAGCUUUGCAGUUGAAUAAAUUGACGUGGUAGAUACCACAAACAAAAAGUAUUAAAUGUUUCAUCGCCAUGCAAACCUACAAAGAACUUAAUGUUAUGAUUGAAGUCCAUGUAAAAAUCAGCAGGAUUUUAUUCGGAUACAAAAAUAGUCUUAUUGGCCGCAACUCCGGCCUCUGAUGCCCGCCGAUACCACGCCCGCUAAUACCGCCUGCUGUGCAGGCUAAUAUGCAAGCUUCUUCACGGUCAUGAUUUCUUCCUUUUCUUCGUGAAUUAAAUAUUCUUCGGUAAUGCACCGAGAACAAGGAUGUCGUAAAUUUUAACCGCCCCUAGUCCACUGCGCUAGAGCCUUAAGGCCAUGUUACACGGUGCGAUUUUUCUUGCAACUUGCAAUGCAAUUCUACUCUUGAGAGAUAUUAAUUAGUGAAAUCAGUGAAGAAUUUUCGAUAUGUUGAGAAAACAUCAGCGGAGUGUAAUGAAGACUCGUAUUUGGCAAUUUCACGUCUCUCAAAAGUAGAAUUGCAUUGCAGGUUGCAAGAAAAAUUGCACCGUGUAACAUGGCCUUUAGGCUGCAUUCAGACUGGGUGCCUUGUUUUGGCGCCUAGUUUGAACACGACGCUUCCAAAUGAAAUUGGGCACAGUGCCCAAGAAUGGACACUACUUCUAGAGGUAGUACUCAACAACGGCACUGUGCUCAACAUGUUUUGGAGACCAUUUUGAACAUUGGGCACCAGUCUGAAGGCAGCCUAAGAGUGUGCCCAGUUUGUUGGCCCCACUAAGGAAGGUCUUCAAUAAGAUCUGCAAUGGCAUUUAUCCAUCCAUUGGGUGCCUUACGUUCUCAUGAUUCGUCGUGGGUCUGCAAUGUUUUAGCUUCCCAAAUCGCGGCAAACAAAAAAGGCGACAAAAAACUGCAUAUUCGGGUUGAAUGGCAAAUUGAGCUAGGUGGUGUAUUAACUCAAUCGUAUUCCUUACCUCUCUCUAGGCGUAUAAUCUUUGCCGAUUUUUGAAGCACUCACUACAGUGAAGAAAUUAAGAUGAUUUAAUUACACUUAGGAAUGCAUAGAUGUAUGUUUGUUUGUGAAUAAAUAC